AUUUCUAAAGGAUAAUAGUCAAUCCAUUGGUCUUAGGAACCAAAAACUCUUGGUGCAACUCCAAGUAGAAAUU
rnacentral:tRNA from 1 species